UAAUUAUAACACUAUGAAGAAAUAUUUCAUUAGAGUAAGCAUAUGAUCAUACUUUAUAUGACAAUCAGACAAGAAACAACCCAUAAUUUUCCAUUGCCAUAAAUGAAGUCUAUAUAAGUUGUAAUUUUAAACUGAGAGGACAACUACUGAAACAUAUUAUAUCAAAACAACAAGGGAGCAACCGAAAAGAAAGUUCUGGCUGAACGAUGAAGACAAUUCUUUUAACGAUGAUACUAUGCGCUAUGUUUGUUGGAUUGUUUGGCUGCAGUAGUUGGAACCAAGACAAGCCAUGCAUGUGUAAGUGCGAGGAUGAUGCGACGGCCUGGCGUAAAAGAUGUAAGAAAUUGUCUGGCAUGGACCAAAACGUAUGCAACAGAAAUUGUAACAGCGCCGAAAAGAAGUGUUAUAGCAAAUGUUAACAGUGAAAUACUUUCAUUCCUGAUGUUUUAUAAACAUCAAUAAUAAAUAUUAAAAACAUCACAAACACCUA